GACGAGCGCUGGCGGCGUGCUUAACACAUGCAAGUCGAACGGAAAGGCCCUGCUUUUGUGGGGUGCUCGAGUGGCGAACGGGUGAGUAACACGUGAGUAACCUGCCCUUGACUUUGGGAUAACUUCAGGAAACUGGGGCUAAUACCGGAUAGGAGCUCCUGCUGCAUGGUGGGGGUUGGAAAGUUUCGGCGGUUGGGGAUGGACUCGCGGCUUAUCAGCUUGUUGGUGGGGUAGUGGCUUACCAAGGCUUUGACGGGUAGCCGGCCUGAGAGGGUGACCGGCCACAUUGGGACUGAGAUACGGCCCAGACUCCUACGGGAAGCAGCAGUGGGGAAUAUUGCACAAUGGGCGGAAGCCUGAUGCAGCAACGCCGCGUGCGGGAUGACGGCCUUCGGGUUGUAAACCGCUUUCGCCUGUGACGAAGCGUGAGUGACGGUAAUGGGUAAAGAAGCACCGGCUAACUACGUG
rnacentral:rRNA from 1 species